rnacentral:tRNA from 1 species
GGAUGGGUGGCCGAGUGGUCGAAGGCGGCGGUCUUGAAAACCGCUGUGCCCUAGCCGGGCACCGGGGGUUCGAAUCCCUCCCCAUCCG